GCCCGGGGUACCCUGAGAGCCAGAAGCCAGACUGAGCACCGAGGAAAAGGAGAAGAAGAGAAGGAACAGUGAUGAUGGAACAGAGACUAGAAUAAUGUGGUCGCAGGCCAGGGACAGCUGGCAGCCAUCAGUGCUGGAGGAGACAAAGAACGGUUCUCCCAUGGAGCCUCAAGAAGUUAGCAGCCCUGUUGAGACCUUCAUUUUAACACGCUUGGAAGCAAGAAGACCUGCUGUGCAAGAUCUUGCAAAAUGGCCGGAAUGAGACAGAGCAGGCAGAGGUGUCAGAGGAGGAGGCGUGUGACUGCUACGAGCUCCACCUGUGAAGCGGAUGCUCGAGUUUAAAUCUGGUUCUGCUAACUCUGUGACUUAGGUUUAAUUAAAGGAGCUUUUGAAAGAAGAUGAGGCAUCAGAUGUGCUCCUGCUGGCCUGAAAGAAAAGUCACACAACCAUGAGGAACUGGAUCCUGCCACAACCCUGAAUGAGCUUGUAAGUAGAUCAUUCCCUAGCAGAUCUUCUAAAUGAGAACUGAAACAUGCCCAACACAUUCCUCUCAGCCUUGCAAGACCCUGAGCAGAGGACUUCAGUAACUCAAAUCUGGAUUUGUGAUCCAGGUUGAUCAGUGAGUUAUGUUUAUCUAAUUUGCCAUGCAGCAAUAGAAAACUAAUGGAGACAAUAUGGGUAUUUCACUGUCUAA